UACGGGGGGGGGGGCAAGCGUUGUUCGGAUUUACUGGGCGUAAAGGGCGCGUAGGCGGCCCGCCAAGUCACUUGUGAAAUCUCCGGGCUUAACCCGGAGCGGCCAAGUGAUACUGACGGGCUGGAGUGCGGAAGGGGCCACCGGAAUUCUCGGUGUAGCGGUGAAAUGCGUAGAUAUCGAGAGGAACACCUGCGGCGAAGGCGGGUGGCUGGGCCGACACUGACGCUGAGGCGCGAAAGCCAGGGGGAGCGAACGGG
rnacentral:rRNA from 1 species